rnacentral:lncRNA from 1 species
UUUAGUUAGAAAAGAGAAUAUAUAACAUAUAUAGUUUUAAAACAAGAGAUGUUACAAGAAACAUUUAUCAUGACGUUGAAUCGGUCCAUCAUGUCGCUUCUUAUGCCAGUUGCCUUCAUUUUGAUGAGCUCCACCUAAGCGUGGACUCCUUUCUUUUAUAGUUAUUAUCAAACUCAGAUCGGUCCGACAGAUCAAUUUGAGAUUUAAUCAAUUGGAGCUGAACUAGUCUGAGUUUGUUAAAAGAGCAGUUAGUGCAACGAUCCAGUCAAAUCCGGUUGACCCGGCAGGUCAACCCGUGACUCGAACGAGACCCGGUUUUUUUUUAAAUGUGGGAUUUGAAACCCAUCAGUAUAUAUACUAUAUGUUUCCAAAAAAAAAAUUAUGUUUUUUCAAUGUGGAGUAAAAAACCUUUUGGUUUAAAUACUUCAACUUAAAAUGAUAACAUUAGUAUAUAUACUUUAUGUUCCGAAGAAAAAAGUUAUCUUUUUUCAAUGUGGGAUUUGAAACCUAUUAGUAUAUAUACUUUAUGUUCCGAAGAAAAAAGUUAUCUUUUUUCAAUGUGGGAUUUGAAACCUAUUAGUAUAUAUACUUUAUGUUCACAGGAAAAAAAACAUAUGUUUUUUCAAUGUGGAUUUGAAACCGAUUAGUAUAUAUACUCUAUGUUCACAA